AUUGAACGCUGGCGGCAUGCCUUACACAUGCAAGUCGAACGGCAGCGGGGGAGAAGCUUGCUUUUCCUGCCGGCGAGUGGCGAACGGGUGAGUAAUACAUCGGAACGUGCCCUGUAGUGGGGGAUAACUAGUCGAAAGAUUAGCUAAUACCGCAUACGACCUGAGGGUGAAAGUGGGGGACCGCAAGGCCUCAUGCUAUAGGAGCGGCCGAUGUCUGAUUAGCUAGUUGGUGGGGUAAAGGCCUACCAAGGCGACGAUCAGUAGCUGGUCUGGGAGGACGAUCAGGGACAUUGGGAAUGAGACACGGCCCAGACUCCUACGGGAGGCAGCGGUGGGGAAUUUUGGACAAUGGGCGAAAGCCUGAUCCAGCAAUGCCGCGUGUGUGAAGAAGGCCUUCGGGUUGUAAAGCGCGUUUGUCCGGAAAGAAAUGGCUCUGGUUAAUACCUGGGGUCGAUGACGGUACCGGAGGAAUAAGGACCGGCUAACUACGUGCCAGCAGCCGCGGUAA
rnacentral:rRNA from 1 species